rnacentral:RNase_P_RNA from 1 species
CCGGAUGGCCGAGGAACCGCUGCAUGGCACGCCAUGUAGAGGAAAGUCCGGACACCUCAAGGGAAGCAUAGCGGGCAACGCCCGUCCGGAGCAAUCCGAGGAUAAGAGCCACAGAGACGAGCCUGUUCAGUCAGGAGUGAAACGCGGCAAUCUCUAUGCGGUGUAAGCCCAAACAGGACGGCGACGAAUACCCUUGCGAGCCGUCGGGUAGGGUGCAAGGAGGCGCGCGGCGACGCGCGUCCGAGAUGAAUGGUUCCUUAACACAGAAUCCGGCUUACAGGCCAUCCAAAUUC